CUCAAAUUAUCCUUUUCAAAUAUCAAAAACAAAAAAUCAAACCCUAAACGGAGCAUGACGAAGAAGGAGAGGAAGAGAAAGUGAGAAAGAAUGGCAAAACGGCUUAGGAUAACCAAAGAGUUCUUCAGGAGGAGGGAUGGAAGUCAAUAAUCAUGGUUUAGAUGGUUUCUUCCUUGUCGAAUCUAAGAUGAAAGUGCAGGGAUUAAAGUGUGGAACUGAAAGCCUAUCUAGAAAUUUGCAGGUGAUAUAUGCUUUGUCGCUGGACAAGUCAAAUUUGGCUAUUUCAAAAUAUCAGGCUGAGUGCAUGGAUGCUAAAGGAUUAAUAGACCCAAACCAUCAAACUCCAGAGAAGGAUCACAAUGAUAUCUAGUGUACUUGCUGGAAGUGGCAAACUGAACUAUGGAGUGAGUGACUUCAAGGAAAAAUGUUAUAGAAGAUCUUCAUGGAUCACCAGCAUGACUUUUAGCAUAUGCAUACAGAAAGAAAUUUCAUGAUAUGCUAAGGAUCUUAGUACUAAAAACAGUUUACACAUACUAAAUCUUACUAGCCGGGGGUAUGUUAUAGCUUAAAUCUUAAGCUGGAUGUGUAUUUAGUUUAUCCACUUAAUCAUGCUAUAUAACAACUAUGCAAUGUUCUAUACAUGUUAUUAGUAGUCUUAUUGGUGACGGUGUGCUUUUAUAUUUUGCUUAUUCUAUCUGAGUAGUCCGUUGGAAAAAAUAUUAACAUAGAUGCAUUGAAGAAAUGUAUUAGUAUAAGACAAUGGUCUCAUAUAUAUUAUGAAAUAAUUGCAAUAACAAUUAUGGAUAGGAUUUCCUAAAGGUGAUAUGUAAACAUAUUCUUUCAUCUUGUAUUUUAAUUGGUAAAAAAGUAAAUUUAUGCUCCUGUUUUUUAUUUCUUUCAUGCAAAGACUAUAUAUAUAUAUAUAUAUAUUGCAUGCAUCGGUAACAAUGGGUUAUAAUGUUUUUUCAAAGGAUAACUCAUGGGCUUGGUUUAUCUUAGGAUUGCAUUUUUCAUCUUGCCAUGGCAUCAUAAGUUACUAUGGAGAUUGGUGGCUCAAAAAAGGAGGUAUAAUAUUAAACAAGAAAUAUAUUUCAAUAAACUUUACACAACUUUAUUAUCAAUUAAAGACGUAAAUAUUUGAAAUAUAUUUCUAUUUCAUUGACAUUUACAUACUUUUUAGUCAUGAUUCUUUCAAGAAAAAAGGUAUAUAUUAAAUCAUAAUUUUAGUUCUUGGGUUGCUGCAAAUACAUAUCAAUGGCAGAAUAUGAUGAUCACAUAUUAGAAAAUUUUAAGGUCUAUUUCAUUUUUCUACAUUAAGCCCACUCAAACUAUCCCACUUGCAAAUUUUGAUGAUCCAAUUGGAAAUUUCUCCAAUAAUCAUCAAGAAGAUUAUAUAUUUUGGAGUUAAUAUUCUUUGCCUUGUGGUAUUGGAUAAGAGUCAGACAUUAUAUUCCAUUUGUUGCUCAAAUUAAUAUUCAUAUGUUUUGUACAUUGAAAAACAUUUAAUAUUUUUGUGGUUAGGUUGAGAUACUAGUUUUGUACAUUUGAAAUUUGACUCCUAACAAAUUCUGCAAAAUGCCUGCACCUCAGUUGAAGAAUUUUGAAGGUCUUUUAUCGACUGCAGUAAACUUUUGUGAGUGGAUUAUUUAAGUUCUGCAUAGAGCAGUUUCAACUUAAAGAAGCUCAAAUAUGAAGAACGGAAGAACCAGUUAAUUGAAGGAUUGACUAAAUUUGGGCAGUGGCAUAAAUUUUCAAAGACUUUUCUUUAGGAACAUGGAUACAACCUUUUUUCUUUGGGGACAUGUUUACAACCUUUCUUUAUCAUAGUGUUGGGAAUACUUGAUUAGGCUGAUAAUGCACAUGCCGCAUAGAGAAACCUAGCUUUCCUUGUGUUCAUGCAAUUGCAGCAUGUAAGCAUCAACAUAUUUCUCAAGGAGAGAAGCAUCAUCAAUAUAGAUGCGGGAGGUACAAACAGAUUGGUCACAGCAGCCGAUCAUGCUCAGCUGCCAUACCUCUUGAUAGCACUACCAACCAACAGCACCAUUCAACUGAAGGACCAUAAAUAGCUCUACGCUAUAUUAAGACAAUGGGGGCAUGUUAUGUGGUAUGCAUGUGUUAUGCAAUGUAGUAAGGAAUGCAAUUAGUAGCUCAACCACGUAACGUGUGUUUUGGCAUAAUUGACGUUGGUUUUAUGUGUUGUUUUGUUGGAAAAGUCAUCUGUCGUAUUUUGUUGAUAAAAUAUCAAUAACCCUAAACAGAAAAAACUCUAAAAGUUCGGAAAAAGUUCUCAAAUUGGCAAAAAUAUUUGGUUACCGUAGGUUUCAU